GACGAACGCUGGCGGCGUGCUUAACACAUGCAAGUCGAACGGAAAGGCCCUGCUUCUGUGGGGUGCUCGAGUGGCGAACGGGUGAGUAACACGUGAGUAACCUGCCCUUGACUUUGGGAUAACUUCAGGAAACUGGGGCUAAUACCGGAUAGGAGCUCCUGCUGCAUGGUGGGGGUUGGAAAGUUUCGGCGGUUGGGGAUGGACGCGCGGCUUAUCAGCUUGUUGGUGGGGUAGUGGCUUACCAAGGCUUUGACGGGUAGCCGGCCUGAGAGGGUGACCGGCCACAUUGGGACUGAGAUGCGGCCCAGACGCCUACGGGGGGCAGCAGUGGGGAAGAUUGCACAAUGGGCGGAGGCCUGAUGCAGCAACGCCGCGUGCGGGAUGACGGCCUUCGGGUUGUAGUCCGCUUUCGCCUGUGACGAAGCGUGAGUGACGGUAAUGGGUAAAGAAGCACCGGCUAACUACGUG
rnacentral:rRNA from 1 species